UACGGGGGGGGCAAGCGUUGUUCGGAAUUACUGGGCGUAAAGGGCUCGUAGGUGGCCAACUAAGUCAGACGUGAAAUCCCUCGGCUUAACCGGGGAACUGCGUCUGAUACUGGAUGGCUUGAGAUUGGGAGAGGGAUGCGGAAUUCCAGGUGUAGCGGUGAAAUGCGUGGAUAUCAGGAGGAACACCCGUAGCGAAGGCGGCACUCUGGGCCGAUACUGACACUGAGGAGCGAAAGCGUGGGGAGCGAACAGG
rnacentral:rRNA from 1 species